rnacentral:tRNA from 1 species
GGUGGCUCAGUGGUAGAGCGCUUGCCUUACAUGCAUGAAGCCCUAGGUUCAAUUCCUCAGCACCA